rnacentral:rRNA from 1 species
CGGGGAGGUAGUGACGAAAAAUAACGAUACGGGACUCAUCCGAGGCCCCGUAAUCGGAAUGAGUACACUUUAAAUCCUUUAACGAGGACCAAUUGGAGGGCAAGUCUGGUGCCAGCAGCCGCGGUAAUUCCAGCUCCAAUAGCGUAUAUUAAAGUUGUUGCGGUUAAAAAGCUCGUAGUUGAAUCUGUGUGUCACAGUGUCGGUUCACCGCUCGCGGUGCUUUACUGGCAUUAUGUGGUACGUCCUACCGGUGGGCUUAGCUCCUCGCGGGGCGGUCCAAUUGAUUACCCAUCGCGGUGCUCUUCACUGAGUGUCGAGGUGGGCCGGUACGUUUACUUUGAACAAAUUAAAGUGCUCAAAGCAGGCUACCUUCGCCUGAAUAUUGUGUGCAUGGAAUAAUGGAAUAGGACCUCGGUUCUAUUUUGUUGGUUUUCGGAACCCCGAGGUAAUGAUUAAUAGGGACAGAUGGGGGCAUUCGUAUUGCGGCGUUAGAGGUGAAAUUCUUGGAUCGUCGCAAGACGGACUAAAGCGAAAGCAUUUGCCAAAAAUGUUUUCAUUAAUCAAGAACGAAAGUUAGAGGUUCGAAGGCGAUCAGAUACCGCCCUAGUUCUAACCAUAAACGAUGCCAGCCAGCGAUCCGCCGAUGUUCCUCCGAUGACUCGGCGGGCAGCUUCCGGGAAACCAAAGCUUUUGGGUUCCGGGGGAAGUAUGGUUGCAAAGCUGAAACUUAAAGGAAUUGACGGAAGGGCACCACCAGGAGUGGAGCCUGCGGCUUAAUUUGACUC